AGAGUGAACACUUGUACAAUGGAUCUUCAUUCAGUUAUUCUGCUCUGUGUCUCAGCUGCUGCUGUCUUUGGAAAUGUCAUCAAACCAGAACAGCUUGAUGUUUUUUCUGAGGAGGGUUCAAGUGUUACAUUAUCCUGUAGUUAUUCUGCUUCUGGACGUACAGAUUAUCUCCACUGGUACCGUCAGUAUGGAAGAUCAAAACCUGAAUUUCUUGUACUCACCUACAGCAAUGCAAAAGAAGCUCAGCAGUCUGAUGUAGAUCCAAGAUUCUCUGUUAACAUUUCGAAAAGUCAAUAUGUGGAUCUGGAGAUAUCUUCUGCUGCUGUAUCAGACUCUGCUCUGUACUACUGUGCUCUGGUGCCCACAGUGACAGGAAACACAUCAGCUCUCUACAAAAACCUGUUACAGUAAGAGACAAGAGAGAAACACAGAGACAGAGAUGAAUGAAAAUUGUGUGCAAUGUGAAAGGUAUUCAUUACAUUAAAUUACAGUUACACUAUGAAGCUGCUCUUUAAUACCUGUAAUUCAGAAAGCUGUUAAACAAUAAAACAUCUCAAAUGAUUCUCACGU